ACCUCCUGAAAUUGAAAUGGUUCACAGAUCAAAAUCUGGUCAGAUCUGACUUUGUCGAAUUAAACCAGGAGCUUGGAAACGAAUUUUUGAAUGAAACAAAUUGGGGGAUAUUUGGUUUAUACCAUGGUGAUAACCGAGAGAGGCAAUUGCUAAGUCGUGGCACUCGCAUACCUUUACUAGAUGCGAACAAUUCCGGAGAAGAAGAAGAAGUGGAAUCAGACAAGGAUAUUAUUUAUAUUGUUGGGAUUCUUAUUUUGAUGGAGUUGUAGAAGUCCAGGGACAAAUAA